rnacentral:lncRNA from 1 species
AAAAUGGGAAAAUCAAAAUCCUCGUGGUUUUCAAAUAACAUGAUUGCUUACCUAGAAGAAACUAAAAAUAUCAGAUUGACAUGUAUUAGAACGGAUAAGGAAAUUACAUUAAGGUCUUAUUUGGGCAAAUUCACAAGGAUAUGAGUUUAAGAGACUCAUUGUAAAAUUUAGCAAAUAGCAAAAUAAUAUAUCAACCUAAAAUCUUAUUAAUAAAUGACUAACUAAAUAAAAUAUUGUCAUACCAUGGAAUACCAGCUUGCCUUAAAAAUAAUGGGCCAACCUUAUUUUGUCAAAAGACAUACUUGUUUUUUCAGAAUUUUCAGGUGUUUUUGUAAUAAGCACGUAUAUAUUACUUUUAGAAUCAGAAAACCAGAACUUAGCUAUUUAUUUAUACUAAUUUUGGUGAAAACAUAUAAAAAUAUAUCCUCUCACUAAAGGGUAAAUUUGUUAAAUCAUCCUGAGGGUAAGAUGGUCUAUAUUUAUUAAAAGUCUUAAAGAUGUUCAUACUUAAAGGAUAAUUGCCCCUUUAAGAAACGGUCUUAAGGAAGCAAUAAGAGAUGUGAAAAAACUGCACAUCAGGGAUGCUCAGCAUUUACUGAGAGAAAAACUGGACAGGCUGACAAUAGCUCACAUACUUCGAGCUCUUGCACUCGCUGUGCGAGAUACUUCUGUGCGCAGCCUGCCAGUGAGCAGCGCCCUGGUGAGUGUGGAGAGCUGGACGGUUUUUGCGCAGUCCUACCUCUUCUAGAUGCGAAAGCUUGUCUUUUAUGUCACCACCUGCCCUCUAGGGAUCCAAGGCCUGAAGGAUCCUGAAUGUUCCAUGCUGCCCAACAGGUUGUUGGUCAUACUGGCUAGAUUACAUGGGGCACUGACAGGGAGACUGAGCACUCUCGCGCGCAAUGAGUCACUACCAGAAGGAUGGUCCAUGGGGGCGUUGCCGCGCACCAUCUAUUGCUUAUCCUCAGCGCACAGUAAUGCAGAGGACAGGGGUCCCCGAGGCAACUCCACACAGGUGACUGGGCCUGGGGAUGCAAGGGACUCUCAGAUGGUCUCUCCUCUCCUUUUCCUUUUUAUCCUAUAUUUUACCCAUUUUGGAAGUCAGAGCAAAUCUUUACAAGUAUAUAUACAGAUUUGUCUUUCUUCUACUCCGACCGGGAAUGCUGGAACUUUAAUUUUCAAGUAUCUGCAGCCUUUGUUUUCUGGCACGGUAGUGAGUGAAAUGUGUCAAUCACUCUGCGGUGGGAGGGGCCGCUG